rnacentral:lncRNA from 1 species
GGGAAGAGGUCCCGGUCAUGCCCCAAGAGGCUGCUGCCACACCAAACGAUGUCGACGAACAGGUUGCUGCAGUGCCGAAUGACGCUGCAGGGGCCAGGAUCGAGCACGAGGAUGAGGCAUCUGCCUCCAACAUCACCACUCAACUGCCGCCUCCUCCGCCGAUGUACGCACCUAUGGAAUGGAUGCUUGCCGGACCAAGCGCCG